UGGGGAAUAUUGCACAAUGGGCGCAAGCCUGAUGCAGCAACGCCGCGUGAACGAUGAAGGUCUUCGGAUCGUAAAGUUCUGUUGCAGGGGAAGAUAAUGACGGUACCCUGUGAGGAAGCCCCGGCUAACUACGUGCCAGCAGCCGCGGUAAUACGUAGGGGGCUAGCGUUAUCCGGAUUUACUGGGCGUAAAGGGUGCGUAGGUGGUCUUUCAAGUCGGUGGUUAAAGGCUACGGCUCAACCGUAGUUAGCCUCCGAAACUGGAAGACUUGAGUGCAGGAGAGGAAAGUGGAAGUCAAAGUGUAGCGGUGAAAUGCGUAGAUAUUGGGAGGAACACCAGUAGCGAAGGCGGCUUUCUGGAAUGCAACUGACAAUGAGGCACGAAAGCGUGGGUAGCAAACAGG
rnacentral:rRNA from 1 species